UACGUAGGGGGCAAGCGUUGUUCGGAUUUAUUGGGCGUAAAGGGCGCGUAGGCGGCGCGGUAAGUCGGGUGUGAAAUCUUGGAGCUUAACUCCGAAACUGCAUUCGAUACUGCCGUGCUUGAGGACUGGAGAGGAGACUGGAAUUUACGGUGUAGCGGUGAAAUGCGUAGAUAUCGUAAGGAAGACCAGUGGCGAAGGCGGGUCUCUGGACAGUUCCUGACGCUGAGGCACGAAGGCCAGGGGAGCAAACGGG
rnacentral:rRNA from 1 species